rnacentral:rRNA from 1 species
UACGUAGGGGGCGAGCGUUGUCCGGAUUCAUUGGGCGUAAAGAGCUCGUAGGCGGUUUGGCAAGUCGGAUGUGAAAACUCCAGGCUCAACCUGGAGCCGCCAUUCGAUACUGCUAUGACUAGAGUCCGGUAGGGGAGUGUGGAAUUCCCGGUGUAGCGGUGAAAUGCGCAGAUAUCGGGAGGAACACCGAUGGCGAAGGCAGCUCGCUGGGACGGUACUGACGCUGAGGCGCGAAAGCGUGGGGAGCGAACAGG